CUCAACACAGCCUCUCUGUAAUGUUUAUGCAAAUCUGCAUCUCCUCUUGUAAUAUUAGCAGCGUUCUGAUCUAGAGAGGAAACACUUCUCAUUAGUCUUCCUUCAACACAAACAUGUUUGCUUCAGCUCCACUGCUGCUGCUGGCUCUCGCCCCCUAUGUGUUCUGUGCUACUGAGCUCAUCCAGCCAGACUCACUGCUUAUAAAGCCAGGAGAGACUUUAACCAUCACCUGUAAAGUGUCUGGAGCUUCUAUCACUGAUAGUAGCAACCACUUUGGAACAUCUUGGGUUCAACAACCUGCAGGAAAAGCUUUAGAAUGGAUCAACACCAUGUAUCAUGAUGGAAAUAGUCAUCAAAAAGAUUCACUUAAAGACAAGUUUGUGGUCUCUCGAGACACUUCCAGUAACUCUGUGACCUUACGGGGACAGAACAUGCAGACUGAAGACACAGCUGUGUAUUACUGCGCUCGUUAUCCACACAGUGACACGACAAGCUGCAGUGCUGCACAAAAACCUCAUCACAAUUCACUUCUUUAAUUAAAUAACAACUAC